CCUUCCCCCGCGCCCCCCUCCUCCCUCCUCCCCCCUCGGCUUCAAAACAAACCGUCACCAAAAUGGUGCAGAGGUGAAGGAGGGAGCGGGAGGAAGGGGAAGAGGUGGCGGCUCGGCCCGGGCGCUGCGGGGACAGUUGGAUUGAGGAGCGGUGGCUGCAGCUCAUCCCUGGCAGGAGCAGAAGAUGCAGGAGGCUGCGUAGCAGGUUUCUGAGCAGCUGCUGCCAUCUCAGCCCCGCUGGAUCUGGCCACACAUGACGGUACCAUGAACUGAGCACGGAGCCACGCA